ensembl:snoRNA
AGGCCUGAAAUGAUGGUGUGAAUUCAUGUCUCUUCUCUGAGGUAUAUUGUGGAGAGAGCUAAAAGCAUUUCUGAUCAGGCUU